rnacentral:tRNA from 1 species
GGGGUUGUGGCUCAGUGGUGGAGCGCUCGCCUAGCAUGUGUGAGGCCCUGGGUUCAAUCCUCAGCUCCACA